UCUAAUUGAAUAUGAAGUCCCGAGACAGCGGGCGUCCUUCCAGGGAAGGACUUAAUUAAAGUGCCUGCCGAGGAUGUAACAAUACCGGGUAACGUAUUUGUUAAGGUCCUUGUGCGCCGGCGCAGGGACUUUUUCUUUGGGAGU
rfam:Chloroflexi bacterium RBG_16_58_8 RBG_16_scaffold_31003, whole genome shotgun sequence.